rnacentral:rRNA from 1 species
GACGAACGCUGGCGGCGUGCUUAACACAUGCAAGUCGAACGGAAAGGCCCUGCUUUUGUGGGGUACUCGAGUGGCGAACGGGGGAGUAACACGUGAGUAACCUGCCCUUGACUUUGGGAUAACUUCAGGAAACUGGGGCGAAUACCGGAUAGGAGCUCCUGCUGCAUGGUGGGGGUUGGAAAAUUUCGGCGGUUGGGGAUGGACUCGCGGCUUAUCGGCUUGUUGGUGGGGUAGUGGCUUACCAAGGCUUUGACGGGUAGCCGGCCUGAGAGGGUGACCGGCCACAUUGGGACUGAGAUACGGCCCAGACUCCUACGGGAGGCAGCAGUGGGGAAUAUUGCACAAUGGGCGGAAGCCUGAUGCAGCAACGCCGCGUGCGGGAUGACGGCCUUCGGGUUGUAAACCGCUUUCGCCUGUGACGAAGCGUGAGUGACGGUAAUGGGUAAAGAAGCACCGGCUAACUACGUG